UACGUAGGGUGCGAGCGUUGUCCGGAAUUAUUGGGCGUAAAGAGCUCGUAGGCGGUCUGUCGCGUCGGUCGUAAAAACUUGGGGCUUAACCCUGAGCUUGCGGUCGAUACGGGCAUGACUGGAGUUCGGCAGGGGAGACUGGAAUUCCUGGUGUAGCGGUGAAAUGCGCAGAUAUCAGGAGGAACACCGGUGGCGAAGGCGGGUCUCUGGGCCGAUACUGACGCUGAGGAGCGAAAGCGUGGGGAGCGAACAGG
rnacentral:rRNA from 1 species